GACGAACGCUGGCGGCGUGCUUAACACAUGCAAGUCGAGCGAUGAAAUCCUUUCGGGGAUGGAUUAGCGGCGGACGGGUGAGUAACACGUGGGCAACCUGCCUCAAAGUGGGGGAUAGCCUUCCGAAAGGGAGAUUAAUACCGCAUAACAUUAGUUUUUCACAUGAAGUACUAAUUAAAGGAGUAAUCCGCUUUGAGAUGGGCCCGCGGCGCAUUAGCUAGUUGGUGAGGUAACGGCUCACCAAGGCCACGAUGCGUAGCCGACCUGAGAGGGUGAUCGGCCACAUUGGAACUGAGACACGGUCCAGACUCCUACGGGAGGCAGCAGUGGGGAAUAUUGCACAAUGGGCGAAAGCCUGAUGCAGCAACGCCGCGUGAGUGAUGAAGGCCUUCGGGUUGUAAAGCUCUGUCUUUGGGGACGAUAAUGACGGUACCCAAGGAGGAAGCCACGGCUAACUACGUGCCAGCCGCCGCCGUAAUAC
rnacentral:rRNA from 1 species